rnacentral:rRNA from 1 species
UAUCCUGGCUCAGGAUGAACGCUAGCGGCAGGCUUAACACAUACAAGUCGAGGGGCAGCAUAAUGGAUAGCAAUAUCUAUGGUGUCGACCGGCGCACGGGUGCGUAACGCGUAUGCAACCUACCUUUAACAGGGGGAUAACACUGAGAAAUUGGUACUAAUACCCCAUAAUAUCAUAGAAGGCAUCUUUUAUGGUUGAAAAUUCCGAUGGUUAGAGAUGGGCAUGCGUUGUAUUAG